rnacentral:lncRNA from 1 species
CUCUCCAAGAAGUCAAAUAGCUCCUCUCUAUAAUAUAUAGGAUAGGUACAUCAGAAUUUAAAAUUCACUGCUGAAAAGAAGUAGAUACCUCAUCAAAUAUGAUUAGGACAUUAUGCUCUGACUUGCUACUGACAGUUGCUGCAGUAGCCCUUGUUCGAUCUUUUUGUUGUGGGCAAUCUCUGGCUAGAUGCCUCAAUUUAUUGUAUCG